UUCGCAAUUUAUGCCCGUAAGGGUGGAGGGGGGGGGGGGGGUCUCAAGUUAUAUGGCAUGGACUCACAAAAAGAAACACACAGCAGUAAAUAAUAAAUAUUUGACUAAAAAUGAAUUUAUUACGCUUAAAAAAAUUUUGUUGGAGGGGAGGAGGGGAGGGGGGGGGGUGAAAAAAAGAGGAGGGAGGGGUUGUGUCCUUAAAGUGGGGAUGUAUUAGCUUAUCCAUAAUUUAAUAAUAUAAACUUGCAAUACAAUAUAUACGCAAUUCUGUUGCACUUGCAAAUGUAUGAAAAGACUACACACAAAAAAAUAUUACGGUAAUGACAAAAGUAACUUACUUUCGAAUUAAAAAGUUGUUAAAAUUUGCUACAUUAAUAUUUUUUUUUCUUGUUUUGAAAAUGAAAACAUUUACUGCUACAGUUUUUGAAAAUCUCGUUGCUCACUGAUUUAAAAGUUUUUCCUUUUAACUCGACUGUAAAAUUUCUUUCAUUUUGACGUUCUCGUGUAACCGUGUACGCCUAAGUCGCAAAUGUAAACAAACACUUUGGUGGGUCCGGUGGUGCUGGUGUGUCUAGGACGCAAAGCAAAGCCGACCGCGGAAGCAGCCAGGACUCGGACGCGGAAACCUUCGUGAGCCAAACAGCAGCAGCGGAACGCCUUCGAAGAAGGGUGGUGCAGGAGCGGGACGAGGUCGAGUGCUCGAAAAGGACAAGGCCAGCUUCUUGCAGGAACUGCAGCUGUUCCUCGGCCGGAAUGCGUAAGAAGGAAGCUUGGGUGUUUUGGGGGGUUUGUGAUUGAUUUUGUUUGUUUUUGUAGGAUGAGAGGUAGGAAUGUGGAUUCGCACCGGUUGUAUUCGGUGGUGGUGGCCCGGGAUUGGUGAUUGAAGGUCAAUUCCCGCGAGGACUGGGGCGAGAUCAUCGAGGAGAUGGCGCUGCCGAAGCGUUGCGUGAACAACGAGAUUGCGUUGAAGAAGAUUAACUUCCGGUUUUUGGACAAGUACGCGAAAGUUUAUUUUCACGAUGGGCCUCCGACGAAAAGCUACAAAAUCGGAGGUGGUCAGCGCAGAUGUUGCACUCGGUGCCGGUUUACAGCACCGCAACAUCCCGCCCACAAACACUCACCUCGCGACGGCGCAGCUUCAGCCGAAUGAACCUGGACAGUGAGCCAAAAAAAAAAAUCUGUGUCAUUCCCAAAGUAGGAUUACGUGCUCAAAACCGAAUUCCGUUCCGAGGGCCUCAUCAACUCCAUGUUCCGGAUGCGCUUCCAGGAUCGGGAACUCCCCGUUCAGGCACUUUACUUUCCAGCCGGAAAACGUCGACCACCCU